UACGUAGGGAGCGAGCGUUGUCCGGAUUUACUGGGUGUAAAGGGCGUGUAGGAGACGCAAGUCAGGAGUGAAAUCCCCGGGCUCAACCCGGGAACUGCUUUUGAAACUGCGUCCCUUGAGUAUCGGAGAGGCAGGCGGAAUUCCUAGUGUAGCGGUGAAAUGCGUAGAUAUAAGGAAGAACACCAGUGGCGAAGGCGGAUAACUGGACGAUGACUGACGUUGAGGCUCGAAAGCGUGGGGAGCAAACA
rnacentral:rRNA from 1 species